CAGCAGCCGCCGCGGUAAUACGUAGGGUGCGAGCGUUAAUCGGAAUUACUGGGCGUAAAGGGCUCGCAGGCGGUUUCUUAAGUCUGAUGUGAAAGCCCCCGGCUCAACCGGGGAGGGUCAUUGGAAACUGGGAAACUUGAGUGCAGAAGAGGAGAGUGGAAUUCCACGUGUAGCGGUGAAAUGCGUAGAGAUGUGGAGGAACACCAGUGGCGAAGGCGACUCUCUGGUCUGUAACUGACGCUGAGGAGCGAAAGCGUGGGGAGCGAACAGGAUUAGAUACCCCCGUAGUCCCUGUCUCUUAUAC
rnacentral:rRNA from 1 species